rnacentral:rRNA from 1 species
GGUGGCUAUAGCACGAGGGAUCCACCUCUUCCCAUUCCGAACAGAGAAGUUAAGCCUCGUCACGCCGAUGGUACUGCG